rnacentral:rRNA from 1 species
GACGAACGCUGGCGGCGUGCUUAACACAUGCAAGUCGAACGGAAAGGCCUGCUUUCCCUUGUGGAUUGCGGGUACUCGAGUGGCGAACGGGUGAGUAACACGUGAGUGAUCUGCCCCCAACUUGGGUAUAAGCCUGGGAAACUGGGUCUAAUUCCCGAUAGGACUGCAGGGUGGUGCCUGUGGUGGAAAACGAUUUUCUAGUGGUUGGGGAUGAGCUCGCGGCCUAUCAGCUUGUUGGUGGGGUAAUGGCCUACCAAGGCGGCGACGGGUAGCCGGCCUGAGAGGGUGGACGGCCACAUUGGGACUGAGAUACGGCCCAGACUCCUACGGGAGGCAGCAGUGGGGAAGAUUGCACAAUGGGCGGAAGCCUGAUGCAGCGACGCCGCGUGGGGGAUGACGGCCUUCGGGUUGUAAACUCCUUUCGACCGCGAGGAAGCCACCUGGUUGGAAGGGUGGUGACGGUAGUGGUAGAUGAAGCACCGGCUAACUACGUG